GACCUCAGUGCCUGAAGGGAGCCUGCAGACAGGAGGGGAAUCGACUCUUGGAAAGGGGAGAUGACAGCAGGACAAGGGGAAAUGGUUUGAAGUUGAGGGAGGGGAGAUGGAGGUUGGAUGUCAGGGGAAGUUCUGUGCUGUGAGAGCAGUGAGGUGCUGGAACAGCUGCCCAGAGAGGCUGUGAUGCCCCGUCCAUCCCUGGAGGUGUUCAAGGCCAGGUUGGAUGGGGCCCUGGGCAGCCUGGGCUGGUGUGAAAUGUGGAGGUUGGUGGCCCUGCGUGCGGCAGGGGGUUGGAGAUUUGUGAUCCUUGAGGUCCCUUCCAACCCUGGCCGUUUUGUGAUUCUAUGAUCACAACUUCCUUUGGAUGCCCCUCAACAGCAGGGCAUGGGGCAGCACAGCACUGGAUGCCGGCAGUGAGAGCGGCUGCAGCAGCAGCUGGGGAUGCUGUGCUGCCAAUAUAAGGCUGUCAGCACCGUGCAGAGCUGUGAGGGUGGUGGACACACACUGUACCCCAUCACCUGAAGGCUUUGGCCUCACUGAGCUUCUCUGUGAAAUAUUUGUUGUAUGAGAAAUGGCUGUGAUGGGAAAACCUCCUGGAGCGGGAGGAAAAGCUGCAUCACAGAACCCCGGGGGCGGCCGUGAGCUCACAGCUGCGCUGCCCGGAUUGGCCUUUUUUGGAAGCAGCCAUUCUGAGACGCUUUGUUUUGCUGGGUUGGUUUUUGUGAGGAUGCACCGUGGGGUCAGUGGGCAGCACUCUGGGAUUGAGCAAAGCAGGAAAGCAGCGAUUGCCCAUUGUGCAAACCUCGCUUUGAAGCAGAUUUUCCUGAGCCGGGGCUGUGCUGGGGACACUCAGCUUCCAGAUGUGGUGAUGCCAUGCUGCUGGGGAGCAAUUGCAUCUGUUGCAGCACACUGUAAUUAAUCACAGUUAUCCGUUCUCUUAAGUAAUGUAAGGGAUUAUUUCUUCUCUUCCUUGGCCUACGGGCAAUUUGCAGUUUGAACUGUAGGAUGAAACCCCCCCAGCCCCCCCGAAUCGGCUCUUUGAAAAUGUCUUUUACUUUGUUUCUCUAAACAGAGCCAUGGGAACAUUUAUUUUCUGGAUGAGGUUACUAGAGGGCAUGUUUAAAAAUAGCCAAGGCUUUUAUUUAUAAAUAUUUUCUACAUACUUUAUCGUGCUGGUACUGAAUAACCUCUGCAAAGACGGCUUCUGCUGUCGCAGUGCUUGUAGCCCUCCUCUAUUGGUUCAAGGGCUGUUUUUGGCUGGCUGAGCCCUAAGCCCUAACUCUGUCCUGCAGGAAUAAUGAGAGCUGAGAACUCACUGUUCAUUUUUUAGUCUGACUUUCCUGGUGAUUCUAUUAAAA